CCCUGCCUCUCUCUCUCUGCCUGCUGCCUGUGGAUCAAAGCUACACCUCUCAGCCCUCUACUUGCCUGCCCGUUGCCACACUUCCUGUCAUGAUGAUUAUGGACUAACACUGAAAAUUUAAGUAAGCCCCCAAAUAAAUGCUUUCUUUUGAAAGAGUUGCCUUGGCAAUGGCUUCUCUUCCCAAUAAUGAGGAACUAAGACAGAAAUUGGUAUCAGAAGUGGGGUGUUGCUGCGACAGACUGGACCAUGUUGUUUUGGAGACAAUUGUGGAAGGACUUUGGAACAUUAAGCUGGUAACGCCACUGAGUAUUGUGAGCUCAAUGGGAGGUUCUGUGUGAGCUUAGAAAUAAGAAUGUUGAGAGCAGUGCAUACAAUGGAGGCCUAUCUUCUGAAGCCACAGAGGGAAACAAAGACUUUAUCAGGCCAUUUGUAGGAAGAAUAUGUGGUGUCUGGUCAGCUGGAACUGAAGAUUCAGUUGUGAUUAGGAAGAGACCAGAACCACUAAAGUAAAACCUUUGCUCUUGGAGUCAAUGGAUGCUGGUCAACCGGCACUGAAGAAUCAACUGUGAUUAAGAAGAGACCAGCAUCGUUGAGUUGAAGUCUUCUGAUGUGAAUUAGAACCUCUGGAGCUGAGACUUGAGGAUCCAGGUUCUUAAGGACAAUCCAGGUGCUGUGAUGGGAAGAUGGCGUACGCCCUGUGAUUUUUAAAUAUAAUUGG
rnacentral:sRNA from 1 species